rnacentral:piRNA from 1 species
UGAUGGGAGAUUGUAUGUGUGUAGGUAGAU